rnacentral:rRNA from 1 species
AGUGUAGACGGCUUUGCAAGUCUGAUGUGAAAGGCGGGGGCUCAACCCCUGGACUGCAUUGGAAACUGUGGGGCUUGAGUGCCGGAGAGGUAAGCGGAAUUCCUAGUGUAGCGGUGAAAUGCGUAGAUAUUAGGAGGAACACCAGUGGCGAAGGCGGCUUACUGGACGGUAACUGACGUUGAGGCUCGAAAGCGUGGGGAGCAAACA